GAAAGAUUACUAUGCCAAGGUAAGAUAAUCAUAAUGGUCUAGCUAGUUUUGCUGCUAUAUAAUAAUAGAGGUUCUAUCGGCUAUUCCAAUUUUUUUUGGUAUGUAUUCCUCUGGGUGCCAACUGGCGUAACCAGUGAGAUAACUUGUCAUGGUUCAAGGAGUCCAAAGGUCAAAUUAUACUUGUGCCUGAGAUUUAAUCAUAAUGAUUUUCAGCAUAUGUUUUGUAGCCCCAUAUUUCAGUAUCUUUUGACUUUGUUUGUCAGCACAACCAAUUAGAUAAACUUGAUAUCUUCAGCACUAUAUUUGCAUUGCUUUUUUUUAAUAAUGUAACUCCAAUAUUGGUUAUUGGUUCUGGGCUUUUAUCAUAUACCAAUUGCUUUUUUCUUCCAUAUUUGGCACUUAGUCAUGUAUGUUCCUGUGUGCAUUUCUGUUUAUUGACUUUUUUAAUUCUAUAUUUGGUUUUCUUUUCUGGUAUUCUUUUUGAGGUGUUGCAUCCUUAUGAACACCUUUGUCAGAACUACAUCAUACUGUAUUGUGCAUUUCUUGCUUUUCAGUCUCUUUUGGUUGUCAGAGUCAAUUUAUACAUUUUCUUUAAGUGUGCUUGGGCAUUGCGUUCAAACACUUUCAAGUGCUAGUAACUAUUUGCAAGGUUGUACUAAGGUAUUGCUUCUUGUGACAUGCUUCAGUUAAAGGCCAGUAUGUUUUGAAGUGACUCAGGAUUGGGAUUAGGUUUAUGUGCCACUAUCUGCCGCCUAUUAUUUGAUCUUGAUUGCAUUGUUGUCCCUUAAUUCAUGUUUCACUAUUAUGAAUGGCCAAAUUUUGGCUGUUUCAUUGGAUUGAACUUCUUACACUAUGCUUAUACUUUAUAAGUUUUGCAAGUGUUUCCCUUCCUUUUCAAUUUUUGCUUUCGUGAUGACUUUCAUAUCCUGGCUGUUCCAAUUUUCCAUUGGGGGACAGAGUGUCACUCUGUGCAUACGCUUGUAAGAGCAAUUCUCUGCCCAAUACAAGCUGUCACUUAAAGCAGAAUGCUUUAUGCUUUUUUUAGGAAAAAAUAAAUUCUUCCUUGCUACACUCGGCAAUCGCCAUAUGUUGAUUCUGUGAUUCUUCUAUAUCUCUCUUGAGUUUGGAAAACUGAAAUAUAUGUGACUCGCUUAUUGUUAUAG
rnacentral:misc_RNA from 1 species